rfam:Picea glauca, whole genome shotgun sequence.
ACUCUUCAAUUUGUUUACGCUCGUUGAGUUUAAGCAUAUAAUUAAGCGAAGGAAAAGAAACUUACAAGCUUUCCCCUAGUAACGGAAAGCGAACCGGGAAGAGCCCAGCAUGAAAAUCGGGUGGCAGCGCCGCCUGAAUUGUAGUUUGUAUAAGCAUCCUUAACGGCGGACUGGGCCCAAGUCCCCUGGAAGGGGGCGCCUGAGAGGGUGGCAGCCCCGUCGGGCCGGGACCUUGCUGCACCACGAGGCAUUGUCGACGAGUUGGGUUGUUUGGGAAUGCAACCCUAAUCGGGUGGUAAAUUCUGUCCAAGGAUAAAUACGGUCGAGAGACCAAUAUCGAACAAGUACCACAAGGGAGAGAUGAAAAGGACUUUGAAAAUAGAGUUAAAGAGUUCUUGAAAUUGCCGGGAGGGAAGAAUAUGGAGGUCGACGAUACGUCUCGGUCAGAUGCGGAACGACUCAAGUUGGUCCGUCACUUGAAUCGAGGUGUGAACCAGCACAGGCCGUUGCAUCGUACAAAGCGUGGGUGGAGUAAUUCCUAUUGGUUUGUUGUUGUGGCGGUCGAGGAGUGAAGAAAUCAAGGGAUUCCACCAACACUCAUUGAAAUUUAUUUUUAAUCGCUUGCCAAUACUUCUUUUAGUUUGUUGAUAUUGAGCUCGCACAUGAGGUAGUUUAUAUCUAUGAGGAUUUAGGAUCAAUUUUUCAAGCAUGAAUUUGAUGUCUAAAUAUUUAUGAAGGUAUUGAAUCCCUUAAUGACUCCUUAGUAUUGUUGACGAGUUGAAUAAGUUUUGAAAUCACCAAGAAACUAUGCAGGAAACACAAUGUUGCAUAGAAUAAGAGUUUAAUUUUUUUUAUGAGUUUAAAAGUUAGUAAUUGAACCUUCAUCGUUGAAGUAAGAAAAUAAAGGUGUCAAUUUUUUUGUAUAUUUGGAUAACUUAGCCAAGAAAUCACUUAUUCAAUGAGGUUAAUCAUUGUCCAAACCAACCGAUUGAGGUUAUCGACCCUUGCACUCAACAAAUUUCCUCCUUGGGGUAAAUCAUUCACAUGUCCUUAUUUGUCCUUAUGACCUCUCUUGGGCCUUGUGCACUAGUUGGGGUAUUUUCUAGGUUGAGAAGCCUCCCUUGGGUCCCCAAACUUCCCUAAUCCAUUAGGGGCAUGAUCUUCCAUCAAUUUCACUGCCUUUUUACAAAACUCUAAAACCAAAUUGACGAAGGCCUCAAUUGCAUUGUGAAUAGUGGUUGUUUAAGGCAUAGGUUCUUCUAACUACCUCGUACACACAUCAAAACUACCUACCCUAGUCUCGAUGCCCAAAAGUGCAACAUCCAUAUUUUCAACUAUUAGUUUAUUUUUUAACAUUAGUAAUGUCAUUGUAAGGUAUUUCACUUUUUGCUUCCAAUGUCCUUCAAUUGGAUUAUCAUAAUAGUUUAACUUCUUCUCCUAGAAUGAACUUAGGUUUUCAAGAUAAUAUGAGAGCCAAGAUUUACCAAACCCUCUCUUCCUUGAAGUUUUAAUGUAGUUUCAAAAAUGUUCACUAGAUUUAAUGUAGUUUUAAUGUAGACACAAUCAUCAUAUAUAAACGCAAUGAAUCAAUAAGGUUGGAAUGUUCACCUUUAAUGACUUCAAAUGCUAAUUUUUAUAGGGUACUCACCAUUCUAGGUGCCCUCGUUUGUCCCCUCCAUGUGCCCUCGACUACUAUCUCCUCGCAGACUAUCUCUCUCCCUCGCAGACUAUCUCCUCCCUGGAUCCUCAUAGACUAUCCCCUCGCAGACUAUCUCCUCACUGUUCUCCUCACGGACUAUACCCUCGCAGACUAUCUCCUGCGACUUUCUCCUCGCGGACUACCUCCCAUUGGUCGCGUGCUCCACUAUCUCCUCGCAUACUACCUCCCCUUGGUCGCGUGCUCCACUAUCUUCUCGCAGACUAUCUCUCUCCCUCGCAUAUUAUCUCCUCCCUGGCUCCUCACAAACUAUCCCCUCGCAGAUUAUCUCCUCAUUGUUCUCCUCGUAGACUAUCCCCUCGCGGACUAUCUCAUGCAACUUUCUCCUCGCAGACUAUCUCCCCUUGGUCAUGUGCACACUCUUUCCUUUGGAAAACAACUCAUAGAAAUUAAAACCUAAUAGAUAACUCAAUGCAAGUCCAAGUAAAAGAUCGACCUCAAAUAGAGAGGUAAAUGUUGU